rnacentral:rRNA from 1 species
AUUGAACGCUAGCGGGAUGCCUUACACAUGCAAGUCGAACGGAGUGGCGAACGGGUGAGUAAUGUAUCGGAACGUGCCCAGUAGCGGGGGAAAACUACGCGAAAGCGUAACUAACACCGCAUACUUUUGGAGUGGCCGAUAACGGAUUAGCUAGUUGGUGGGGUAACGGCUCAACAAGGCGACGAUCCGUAGCUGGUUUGAGAGGACGACCAGCCACACUGGGACUGAGACACGGCCCAGACUCCUACGGUAGGCAGCAGUGGGGAAUUUUGGACAAUGGGCGCAACCCUGAUCCAGCCAUCCAGCGUGUGCGAUGAAGGCCUUCGGGUUGUAAAGCACUUUUGGCAGGAAAGCGGUACCUGCAGAAUAAGCACCGGCUAACUACGUGCCAGCCGCCGCGGUAAUUC